rnacentral:miRNA from 1 species
UAUUUUUAUUUGUUAAUGUCAUUUUCCAGUUUAUUAAAAAGAUGUCUUGUGGGCUGGAGAGAUGGCUCAGCCGUUAAAGGCUAGGCUCACAACCAAAAUAAA